rnacentral:rRNA from 1 species
CAGCAGCCACGGUAAUACGAAGGGGGCUAGCGUUGCUCGGAAUCACUGGGCGUAAAGGGUGCGUAGGCGGGUCCUUAAGUCAGGGGUGAAAUCCUGGAGCUCAACUCCAGAACUGCCUUUGAUACUGAAGAUCUUGAGUUCGGGAGAGGUGAGUGGAACUGCGAGUGUAGAGGUGAAAUUCGUAGAUAUUCGCAAGAACACCAGUGGCGAAGGCGGCUUACUGGCUCGAAACUGACGCUGAGGCGCGAAAGCCAGGGGAGCGAACGGGAUUAGAUACCCCCGUAGUCCCUGUCUCUUAUAC